rnacentral:rRNA from 1 species
AGAGUUUGAUCCUGGCUCAGGAUGAACGCUAGCGGCAGGCUUAAUACAUGCAAGUCGAACGGCAAGUUGAGUAGCAAUACUUGACCUAGAGUGACGUACGGGUGCGUAACACGUAUGCAACCUACCCUUUACAGGCGGAUAGCUCGGGGAAACCCGAAUUAACCCGCCGUGGUAUGAUUGAGUGGCAUCACUUAGUCAUUAAAACUCCGGUGGUAAAGGAUGGGCAUGCGUCUGAUUAGUUAGUUGGCGGUGUAACGGACCACCAAGACGAUGAUCAGUAGGGGAACUGAGAGGUUGAUCCCCCACACUGGCACUGAGAUACGGGCCAGACUCCUACGGGAGGCAGCAGUAGGGAAUAUUGGUCAAUGGAUGCAAGUCUGAACCAGCCAUGCCGCGUGCAGGAAGAAGGCCUUCUGGGUUGUAAACUGCUUUUGCCAGGGGAUAAAAUGGGCGUGCGCGCCUAAUUGAAGGUACCUGGUGAAUAAGCCACGGCUAACUACGUGCCAGCAGCCGCGGUAAUACGUAGGUGGCAAGCGUUGUCCGGAUUUAUUGGGUUUAAAGGGUGCGUAGGCGGUUCUUUAAGUCAGUGCUGAAAUACUCCAGCUUAACUGGAGGGGUGGCAUUGAUACUGGGGAACUUGAAUGAAGUCGAGGUAGGCGGAAUUGACGGUGUAGCGGUGAAAUGCUUAGAUAUCGUCAAGAACACCGAUAGUGAAGACAGCUUACUAGGCUUAUAUUGACGCUGAGGCACGAAAGUGUGGGGAUCAAACAGGAUUAGAUACCCUAGUAGUCC